AAACCUGGCUGCUGCAAGGCCUGAAGUGCAAGGUCUGCCCACCCUGAGUCCGUAAAAUGCAGUAAAAACACACUGAGGCUUCUAAACAGUGCUAUGGCAGUCUGAACGCAUCCACCCCCAAAGCACAACCACCUACAAAAGAACCACCACCCCCUGGCCCUCAGCCCCACAGCCCCCUGAAGUGGGGCCCAUUUCCCAACACAAAAUGAUUCCAACUAAAGAUCAUAUCCAGAUUGAAACACACAGAUGAUUUCCAUUGCAAGGCUAAUGCUUAUGGUGUGCAUAUGACUUCCCUAAUCACUGACAACCUUCUAUUCUGCAUCAGUGACAUGACCUAUGUGAUCCUAAGUACCCUGUGUGGGCUUAACUUAAUAACAGAGAAGGUGAUUUCUUUAGUAACUUUGUUUUGUUCAUGUUUGUUUGUUUAGAUACUUAAACAGUGUAGCUGAACGUUUAGGCUCACAAUGAAAAGCUACACAAAGGAGGGACUUCCAGAAAGAAAUCCUUCCGUGGUGGCAGUCAGACCUUGAAUGGGGUCUAGGAUGUGAAUUGCUUUCACCCGUGCUCCCCUGGCUGACCCAGUCCCCUCCUCAGGUAAUCGAUCAGUGUUUCAGGCCAUGACUCAACAGUCCCCAUACAUGUGGCAUGGCCAAAGCUGUCUAUUGUGAGCUCUGGCUAGCUGGACACCAGUGAGGUUAUGGCCUGAUUUAGCUGGUGAUGGGCGUGCACAGCCCAGAAUUAAGGGUCACAGAAAUGUGCCGUUCCUUAUGGCCUUGCCCGAGUGAUCUUGGCUCCCUGACCUCCUGUGGGACAGACAUCCCCUCUCUCUGCACUGCCAGCUUCAAAUGAACAAGUCACUUGUGUAGAUGAAUGGUUUGGGAGCUUGAGGCGCGCUUUGAGUGAGGUGGGCGUGCGGUGUGAACGCUGCUGAACCUGGUCCUGGGAGGCGGACAGCAAAUGCAGAGCUUCAGAAACAGGGAGAGGCUCUUCUAUUUUUGCAAGCCAAUGUGUUUUGAGAAGAAACACCUGAAACCACAGCAAGUGCAGUGAAGUCAAAACAGUCACUCACUCAAGAGGUCACAAGAAGUUAUGUUUAUUACCUGCAAAUGGGCUCGUUUGCUAUCGAACCACCUUAAAUGUGCUGU